rnacentral:sRNA from 1 species
CUAUUGUUAACCGUGAUGGUACCCGCUAUGUCCAGAAAGGAGAAUACAGAACGAAUCCUGAAGACAUCAACCCCAGCAACCCUACUGAUGAUGACGUGAGCAGCGGCUCCUCCAGUGAAAGGAGCAGCACUUCAGGAGGUUACAUCUUUUACACCUUUUCUACUGUACACCCCAUCCCAGAUGAAGACGGUCCCUGGAUCACCGACAGCACAGACAGAAUCCCUGCUACCAUUUCAACCACACCACGGGCUUUUGACCACACGAAACAGAACCAGGACUGGACCCAGUGGAACCCAAGCCAUUCAAAUCCGGAAGUGCUACUUCAGACAACCACAAGGAUGACUGCAGAUGUAGACAGAAAUGGCACCACUGCUUAUGAAGGAAACUGGAACCCAGAAGCACACCCUCCCCUCAUUCACCAUGAGCAUCAUGAGGAAGAAGAGACCCCACAUUCUACAAGCACAAUCCAGGCAACUCCUAGUAGUACAACGGAAGAAACAGCUACCCAGAAGGAACAGUGGUUUGGCAACAGAUGGCAUGAGGGAUAUCGCCAAACACCCAGAGAAGACUCCCAUUCGACAACAGGGACAGCUGGUAAUGGAUGGUUUAACAAGUAAAUUUGGAUGGAAACUUCCUUUUGGGUUAAGCGGUAGACAUUGAGGACAUUGAACAAAAGGACACUGGAGGAAUUGUCACGAGAUGUUAGGUUACUUAAUAAAUUAUGCUGCAGUUCACACAGAGCCAAACCUUAAAGGCUCAUAACAAGUCACCUGAACAGGAAUGGAUACAAGCCAGUUAUGAAUAAGAACAGGAAACACAGAGAAAAUGCCCUUGAACAUGUCUCUUUCACAUCGAGUUUUGGG